GACGAACGCUGGCGGCGUGCUUAACACAUGCAAGUCGUACGGUAAGGCCCUUUCGGGGGUACACGAGUGGCGAACGGGUGAGUAACACGUGAGUAACCUGCCCACAACUUUGGGAUAACGCUAGGAAACUGGUGCUAAUACUGGAUAUGUGCCCCUGCUGCAUGGGGGGGGUUGGAAAGCUCCGGCGGUUGUGGAUGGACUCGCGGCCUAUCAGCUUGUUGGUGGGGUAGUGGCCUACCAAGGCGGCGACGGGUAGCCGGCCUGAGAGGGUGACCGGCCACAUUGGGACUGAGAUACGGCCCAGACUCCGACGGGAGGCAGAAGUGGGGAAUAUUGCACAAUGGGCGCAAGCCUGAUGCAGCAACGCCGCGUGCGGGAUGACGGCCUUCGGGUUGGAAACCGCUUUCAGCAGGGACGAAGCUUUUUGUGACGGUACCUGCAGAAGAAGCACCGGCUAACUACGUG
rnacentral:rRNA from 1 species